rnacentral:rRNA from 1 species
CAUUAUCGUAACAAAAGCGUGAGAGGCGCAUGAAGGCUGUCGCCGGCUCGAAAGGGUCGUGCACGUCUGAAGGCGUCCUCUUGCGUGAAAUCCAUCUCACCCUUUUGUGCACCACCGCGUGGGCCCCCUCUGCUCGAGAGGGCUCGCGUUUUUAUACAAACCCCCUUUGUAAUAGUGUAGAAUGACACAACUUGUUUUGCGAUGACACGCAAUCAAUACAACUUUCAACAACGGAUCUCUUGGCUCUCGCAUCGAUGAAGAACGCAGCGAAAUGCGAUACGUAAUGUGAAUUGCAGAAUUCAGUGAAUCAUCGAAUCUUUGAACGCACCUUGCGCCCCUUGGUACUCCGAGGGGCACACCCGUUUGAGUGUCGUGAAAUUCUCAACCUCCUUGGUUUCUUCUGGAAGCCAAAGGGGGCUUGGACUUUGGAGGUCUUUGCUGGAACAUAAAAGCCAGCUCCUCUUAAAUGGAUUAGCAGGGUCCCCUUUGCCGAUCCUGGGCGUGUGAUAAGAUACCUCCGCGUCUUUGAAUUUGGCUCUGUUGCAUUUUGGGACCCGCUUCCAAUCGUCUCUCGACGAGACAACGUUCGAGCUUGCCUCGACCACAAACCCUUGACCUCAAAUCGGGUGAGACUACCCGCUGAACUUAAGCAUAUCNAUAAGCGGAGGAAAAGAAACUAACAAGGAUUCCCCUAGUAACUGCGAGUGAAGCGGGAAAAGCUCAAAUUUAAAAUCUGGUGGUCUUUGGCCAUCCGAGUUGUAAUUUAGAGAAGCGUUUUCCGCGCCAGACCGUGCNCAAGUCUCCUGGAAUGGAGCGUCAUANAGGGUGAGAAUCCCGUCUUUGGCACGGACGCCUGGUGCUUUGUGAUGCGCUCUCGAA